rnacentral:rRNA from 1 species
UAAGAUUUUAAUUGAAUGCUAAGAGAAUGGAAGUCCAGAAAAAAACUUUUUUUAAAUUAAAAAUUGAAGUUUUUUUAAUUUGUGCAGAAACAAUUAUUUAUAUUAAAGACAAGAAGACCCUAUGAAUUUAUUAAAUUUUUAUUUAAUAUGUAAUUACUAUUAGAAAAAUUUUGGCUGGGGCGGCUAGAAAAUAUUAUGAACUUUUUAAAAAUAAAAUGAUCCAUUAUUAAUGAUUUUAUGUUAAAUACUCUAGGGAUAACAGCGUUAUAUUUUUUGAUAGAUCAUAUUGACAAAAAAGUUUGCGACCUCGAUGUUGGAUUAGGAUACUUUUUUAAUGAAGAU